UUUAAAUUUGGUGGCCUGCUUUUAGAUGAC
rnacentral:piRNA from 1 species